rnacentral:rRNA from 1 species
UACGUAGGGGGCAGGCGUUGUCCGGAUUUAUUGGGCGUAAAGGGCGUGUAGGCGGCCAUGCAGGUCCGUUGUGAAAACUCGAGGCUCAACCUCGAGACGCCGAUGGAAACCGCAUGGCUAGAGUCCGGAAGAGGAGAGUGGAAUUCCUGGUGUAGCGGUGGAAUGCGCAGAUAUCAGGAGGAACACCGGUGGCGAAGGCGGAUCUCUGGGCCAUAACUGACGCUGAGGAGCGAAAGCAUGGGGAGCGAACAGG